CCUACGGGGGGCAGCAGUCGAGAAUCAUUCACAAUGGGGGAAACCCUGAUGGUGCGACGCCGCGUGGGGGAAUGAAGGUCUUCGGAUUGUAAACCCCUGUCAUGUGGGAGCAAAUUAAAAAGAUAGUACCACAAGAGGAAGAGACGGCUAACUCUGUGCCAGCAGCCGCGGUAAUACAGAGGUCUCAAGCGUUGUUCGGAAUCACUGGGCGUAAAGCGUGCGUAGGCUGUUUCGUAAGUCGUGUGUGAAGGGAGCGGGCUCAACCCGCGGACGGCACAUGAUACUGCGAGACUAGAGUAAUGGAGGGGGAACCGGAAUUCUCGGUGUAGCAGUGAAAUGCGUAGAUAGCGAGAGGAACACUCGUGGCGAAGGCGGGUUCCUGGACAUUAACUGACGCUGAGGCACGAAGGCCAGGGGAGCGAAAGGGAUUAGAUACCCGGGUAGUC
rnacentral:rRNA from 1 species